GAAACUUCAUUUUAAUAACACUCUUGAUCCUUCUUAGAUCAUUUAUAUAAUUCAUAUCCACUCAUCCCUUAAAGUAAGAGCCCUCCCGAGGACAUACUGAGGACUGGCUUAAAUAUCAAGGUUGUGAGAUUUCCUUCAGAAGAGCAAAAUGAAACUAUUCAUGUCUGAAGGGCAUAACAGAUGUGUCUUCUCUACAGGGAUUAUUAUCAACAGUACCUUCUUCAAAUUCAGCAAUCCAAAAGUCAAUCUGCAAGUAACAUGUGGUAUCUGCUGCACUAAAGGGUUAUGGUACUCUAUAGAGACAUUACUCCCGUACCAAUCUGCUAAACUGCUGCAGAUCAUAUUUCUGUACUCAAAAAGUGGAGAUUUCAAGGUGACCCUAAAGAUCCAUGGAGCUUUUUCACCUGGUCAGCCUGUGGUUUUUCACCUCAUGAGGUCUGUUUCUGCCUUAACAUAUGUGAAAGUGCAUACGAAGCAAAGGUGUGUAAUUCAUUUCCUCUGUGUGAAAAAAAUUUCACCCAUUGACAUUCA
rnacentral:lncRNA from 1 species